AUACGUAGGGUGCGAGCGUUAAUCGGAAUUACUGGGCGUAAAGCGUGCGCAGGCGGCUUUAUAAGCCAGAUGUGAAAUCCCCGGGCUCAACCUGGGAACUGCAUUUGGAACUGUAAGGCUAGAGUACGGCAGAGGGGGGUAGAAUUCCACGUGUAGCAGUGAAAUGCGUAGAUAUGUGGAGGAAUACCGAUGGCGAAGGCAGCCCCCUGGGUCGAUACUGACGCUCAUGCACGAAAGCGUGGGGAGCAAACAGGAGUAGAAACCCCAGUAGUCC
rnacentral:rRNA from 1 species